CAGGCUCAGCUUUCUCAUCACUAAAUUGGAGAUACAGGAGUUGGAGACUUGGAAUCCCCUUUGGUGCAGAAACUAUUCCUUCAUGAGAAGUCCUUAAAUAGGCUCUUUAGAGAAGAGGCCACAUUUUGAAGGCAGCAGGGUCACAAGAUGGAAGAACCAGGGUCCUUGCAUCAUCGGUUGGCUUCAAGUUGCCAGGGGCAGCCUAACCCACAUGGAAUUGUGACAUAAGAAACAAAGCAACUAUUGUUUUAUUAAAUCAAUGAGAUAUUGGGCUUCUUGUUAUAGCAACUAGUAUAAAUUGCCCUGACUGAUACAUUAUGGAUUUAGAAUGCACUGUACUACAACUGUUUAUUGUAUUUUCAAAAACAGGUUUAUUGUGGUAUAAUUGACUUACAAUAAACUUCAUAUAUUUAAAGAGU